UAAGUGAUGUCGAGAAAGAGUCUCCCACA
rnacentral:piRNA from 1 species